GAUGAACGCUGGCGGCGUGCCUAAUACAUGCAAGUCGAGCGAACGGACGAGAAGCUUGCUUCUCUGAUGUUAGCGGCGGACGGGUGAGUAACACGUGGAUAACCUACCUAUAAGACUGGGAUAACUUCGGGAAACCGGAGCUAAUACCGGAUAAUAUUUUGAACCGCAUGGUUCAAAAGUGAAAGACGGUCUUGCUGUCACUUAUAGAUGGAUCCGCGCUGCAUUAGCUAGUUGGUAAGGUAACGGCUUACCAAGGCAACGAUGCAUAGCCGACCUGAGAGGGGGAUCGGCCACACUGGAACUGAGACACGGUCCAGACUCCUACGGGAGGCAGCAGUAUGGAACCUUCCGCAAUGGGCGAAAGCCUGACGGAGCAACGCCGCGUGAGUGAUGAAGGUCUUCGGAUCGUAAAACUCUGUUAUUAGGUAAGAACAUAUGUGUAAGUAACUGUGCACAUCUUGACGGUACCUAAUCAGAAAGCCACGGCUAACUACGUG
rnacentral:rRNA from 1 species